rnacentral:rRNA from 1 species
CUACGGGGCGCUCCAGUGAGGAAUAUUGCACAAUGGAGGAAACUCUGAUGCAGCAACGCCGCGUGGAGGAUGACGCAUUUCGGUGUGUAAACUCCUUUUAUAUGUCAAGAAAAUGACGGUAGCAUAUGAAUAAGCUCUGGCUAACUCCGUGCCAGCAGCCGCGGUAAUACGGAGGGAGCAAGCGUUACUCGGAAUCACUGGGCGUAAAGGACGCGUAGGCGGGAUAGAAAGUCAGGUGUGAAAUCCUAUGGCUCAACCAUAGAACUGCACUUGAAACUUCUAACCUAGAGUAUGGGAGGGGAAGAUUGAAUUAGUGGUGUAGGGGUAAAAUCCGUAGAUAUCACUAGGAAUACCAAAAGCGAAGGCGAUCUUCUGGAACAAUACUGACGCUAAGGCGUGAAAGCGUGGGGAGCAAACAGGAUUAGAUACCCCCGUAGUC